CACUGUUAGAUGUCGCUGUAGAUUUAGCAGUACAUUACUGUAAAAAUCCACAGUACUAUACUGUAUGUGUACAUUACAGUACAGUACUGCAGUUCAUAAUGCAUUCUGGGUAAAUUUGUUUGAGCGGGAAAAUUUUACAGUAUAUUUUGGUCUUGAUGUAACCUUGCUGUAGCCAUUGCUGUAAUGUGCCAGGUGUACUUGCAAUAAUCAGAGAAAGUGCGCCAGAGUCAAAUCACACAGAGGGAGAGAGAGCACAACUCCUGGCUGCAGCUGAAGGAGGACGAUUGAUUUCUGGCAGUUCGUCUUACCAUUGCUUGUAAGCUGGAUUGGGUAAGAUGGAUCAUCUUUAAAGGCACCAGGAGUUAAGGCAGAUGUGGAGGCACAACGUGUGAUACCAGACACACACCAAGCACAUUAUGUUCGGACAUUCAAUCAUGACAUGAUCCAUGUGGAUGCUGUCCAUUGAGGAAAGAGUUUGUUCCGAGGUUUCUGGAUAGAAUUAAUUCCAAAGAUGGGAAAAAGUGCACAUCCAGACAAGGAGCAAGCAAAAAGACAAGGAACUUGGUGCAGAGAAAAGCUGUGGCCAUUAACCCCCAUGUGAACAGCUUCAUGCAGUCCCUGAUUGAGUUCGAAUGGACGACUUCAAAGUAAAGGCCACUGUGGUCUGUCUGCCACAGUUUAAUGCAUUUAUUUUUAGUGUUAAAUGAAAUUCAAGUAGAAUAUUUAAAACUAUGGGCCAGUGUUCUUUUUACCACAGUGAAAUGUUACCUUUUAGUCGAUGAUGGACUUUAAACUGAAAACUUCAAACUAUGGAACAGUGUUCUAUUUGCCAGAGUUAAAUAUGUUACAGCAGAGGUCUC